GUUAAAUGUAAUUUCCUGAAAUAAUAAUAAUAAUUGAUAUAGAAGUUGAAUGGAUAAAUUCUAUACGAAGAACACAUGAAACAUGAAAUUCAAAUAUCUGCAACCUCACUCACAUGUAACACACUAGCUUCAAAGCAUUCGAAGCCAAACUAUGAUUUUGCACAUUGACAGGGACCAUCCUCCUAGAUUUUCACAUCAGUUCCACGAACGGCCAUUAAUGUCUCCUCCAUGGGAUCACAAUCUGUUACAGUUGAUCAUGAUUUUUAAUUCAGGCUUUAUAAUUGCUUGUGAGGGUUUUAGGGUUUCAAAGAGAAGAACCAGAUCACUCUGCUGACAACCAUUAUUAUCCACACAUCUUCCAAGAAUAACAAAUGCAGAAAUUAAACCUUCCCGUCUGAUAAUUAUUACACACCUCCUAACAAUCAGGAUUCUUACUUGGAACCAUUUCCUUACCGACAUGCCAAGGAACUUGACAGCAAACAAACAGCUACCUUAAACUUACUCCGAAACUCCUGGUAGUUGCCUGGUCCUCCAAGUUAUCUGGAAACCUCCUGGGAAUCUGGAGCUCCUUCUA
rnacentral:lncRNA from 1 species